CCUACGGGUGGCAGCAGUGGGGGAUAUUGCACAAUGGGGGGAACCCUGAUGCAGCGACGCCGCGUGGGUGAAGAAGCGCCUCGGCGCGUAAAGCUCUGUCAGCAGGGAAGAAAAUGACGGUACCUGAAGAAGAAGCCCCGGCUAACAACGUGCCAGAAGCCGCGGUAAUACGUAGGGGGAAAGCGUGAUCCAGUUUUACUGGGUGUACAGGGGGCGCAGACGGCGAUGCAAGCCAGGAGUGAACGCCCGGGGACCAACCCCGGGACUGCGCUGGGAACGGUGGCUGGAGUGCAGGAGGGGCAGGCGGAAUUCCUGGUGUAGCGGUGAAAUGCGUAGAUAUCAGGAGGAACACCGGUGGCGAAGGCGACCUGCUGGACUGCAACUGACGUUGAGGCCCGAAAGCGUGGGGAGCAAACAGGAUUAGAUACCCGGGUAGUC
rnacentral:rRNA from 1 species